UGACAUUUAUGAUUUCUUGGUAUUUGGAGAAGGCAAACCCAAGGGUUUCUGCAUUUUGCAAAUCAGGGCAUUGGAGAACGUAGUAUCUUCAUUGUGACAGCUACCUGAGGUGGUGUAAGAUCUUUUGAGGGUUGCUUUUGUGGAGGUGAUACUUCAAUCAUCUCAUUGGAGCUUAACUGGUGGCCAAGGGCCAAAUUUAGCUAGGGUUCAAUUUGGAGAUCAUUGGAGGAAUUGUUGUUGUUGAAAAUCUUCACCUAUCUUGCUACAUAAGAGCUGGUUGCAUCUUCCAAUUUCUGAGUUUUAAUCUGUGUUUUUCAGACUUUACAACAGCUGGAGGAAUACACGAUUUGAUUCAUGGGAGUCUAUAGAACAGGGCCGGCUAUAAGAAGGCUUUGAUUUGGGCUUAAGAAGAUCUCUUCCAUUGGUCAUUGGUUGCUUCUUCAUCGGCAAACAUAGGGCGCUUCUAUAAUCAGAUACCAGAAGGAAGGCAGAUGCAGACAAGGACGAAGCAGCAAGACAAAGGCAACAUCAAGGCUACUCCAACUGUACCAGUCAUUCAGACAAUGACUAGUUCCACUCUCAACAUGCUCUCUUUUCCUUUAUACUCAUGCAUACAUGCCUAUGUAUUUCUUUCUUGCACUAGAUGUGUAUAGCUAGU